CCCUGCAUGGUGGACGUGCUGAACCUGCAGCACUUAGAGGAAUGGGAGGAUGGAUUAUGGGGAAUACCCGGUUCCAGUUCCAACGGCAGAAACCCAAGUCCCGCAGCUGCCAUGUCAGGAAUUUGACAUUUAACAGAUUGGCGCGGAGGGGCCUGCAGAAAUAAAAUAGGGCAUUAAGCAACCUGAAUUUAACAGCUUUAAUCAUCUGAUUUACCGAUCCUAUACAUCGAGGUGGGAUGUAGUAGAUAGCUACGUGAUAAUUCCCCCCUUGUACAGCUUAUAGGGGGAAACGCUGCCCAACGUCCACGUACACAAGAUGGAAGGACACUUGUGGCUGGUUUCUUCUGAGAUGUAUCUGGUCCAAGUCCACUGCACUAACAGUGAACGACGCUGGUAGCAACGUGGGCUGGUGGCAUAAUUUUAAGUGUAUAAUAGUCAUAGUAUAAACACAGUUACUUGUGCGGUCUCAUGUUGUGCUUUGGAGGAAUAAUGUGGGAAGGCUGUGAGCAUAAAAGUACCAACCUCUACUUGUGGACAUAAUGGUCUCCACAGCACUCGUUUGACUGUUGGCAGGGAUGACUGGGCACAAGACAUCGAAAUAGAAACUUCUCUUAAGUGAAGUUGGAACUGAGGUUGGAACUGCGACCACAUUCUCGUCUUUAAUCUCGCAGGCAACGUAGAGGGUUCCAGAACCUAGUGAGCAGAGAAUAAACUCUGGUACUCUCAGCUGUUUAGAAACAGGGAACCCCAAUGGUAUCUGAAUUAAGACAGUCAUGCAUAUACUCCUGUCAGAAGUUCCAUGAACAUACCAGAGGUGCCAUUUUCUUUGCAAGGUAUGUAUGCAUGUCGAUGGUAUCUGAAUUAAGACAAUCAUGCAUAUACUCCUGUCAGAGUUCCAUGAACAUACCAGAGGUGCUGUUUUCUUUGCAAGGUAUAUAUGCAUGUCGAUCGCCCUGGAUUUCGAGUAAAAGGUUUUUACACUGGUUCCAUGACACAGGUUAUACACACGGAGACAAUAAUUAUACCAUCGAUGUCGACAGUGUAAUUGAUUGUUUCAGAAUCACUCCAAACACACCAUUAUCGAUAAAAUUAGCAUUAAUAAUUAUGAUGAAACCAUCUCGAAAAGUUUCUUGCCCAGAGAGAGCUGGCCAUCAAUGCUGCUGUGACUGCCAAUGCACAGAUCAACGUGUCCGAGCAAAGGGCCUGUCCAGUCUCAACCAUUAUGAUGCCUCCCAUACACUCCGAAUAUUUUGCGUAUAGGGUUUUAUUACGUUAUGCAUGUAAAUAUCGAAGAAGUUAACAAUGUGUACCACCUGCUGGAGAAUCCCUACCUGGAUUCAGCGGUUCCUUCCCUGAGAUAUCGCUUGCCGUUUUCAGAGCCACACCCACUGUUGGAAUCUAGACCAUUUUCUCUGGUCCCACUGCUACAAGUGAUGAUAAUUAUAUAGGUCAAUUGUGAGGAAUAUAUUAUAUAUGUACAUACAUGUAUACAGUGAAUUAAUUGUGUAUAUUAUCAUAAUUAAUUAUGAGUCUUUAGUCCUUUGAGCUUGCACCUGUACUUCAUAGCUAAAAUAAUGUGGGGGAAAAAAUAUUAUAAGUUGUGAACGCAUUGUAUGCAGCUUUUUUUGUGAGGAUUGUUUGAUAUUGCCUAUACUAUGGAGAGCAAGUGUGAUAGAACUAAACUUAUAGCUUCAAAUAAAUCUUUGCAUGGAAUACCAAGGCAUGCAGUUAUCACAGUUAAAUGUCAUUAAAACUAGCACGAGGCAGUGGACUCUAUUUGUUAGUCUGUACAAUAAAAUUAUGGAUGCAGAAUCGAACAAAAUUCCUUAUACAGUGAAAGCACCGCAAAAAGCUGUACUAUAUUGAAGCUGGACCGAAAAGAUUGAAAGCAAUGAACUCACCAAUGUCGCCUGUUUCAUUUGAGAAGCUAGCGGAACAGUGAGAUUUUGACAUUUAGAGCAAGGUUGUCGGCUUGAAGUAUUCUCUGCCUGAAAAAUUUUUGUUUUAAGAUAUCAUAAUCACAAUCGGUAGCUAUAUUAUUGCCUUGCUGUGCCAUUAGUGAAAAAUAGUUAUAGUGAGAAAAGAGUGUGCGCUAGUUUGCUUUGUAGACAAUGAACCCACGUUUUCAACUGUUGGGUUUCGUCAGCACAGUGUAGGUAACAUUAUAGAGUGCCCUACGAUAUUAUUGUAACAACUGUGUGCUAACGAGUGUGCUAACGACUAAGUUUCUGGUUAAAAAUAUCUUCAAGAAGGCAUAAUCCUACGUAUGAAGUAAUAAGUUGCCUUCUAUAUAGAUUUCGGUGAGCACAUUUCCUCAUGCUUGUUGUGAAUCACCGCCAUGUCCUUGUCUCGACGAAGAACAUCCCUCCAGUUCUUCAGAACCUCGGACAUCUUCACCGCCUGUCUCGAGUCUUAAGUCUAAAUAACUUAGGGCGUCUUCAAAGUACUCCAGCUUCUGGAUGAUACCAGAAGCCUGGAGUUUGCACUUUCUCAGGAUCUCGUCUCGAUCGGUUAUUAUCUAUCUCCUGAUAUGAACAAUAUAAUAUAACUCACAUAAAACAGUGACUUGCAUUGACAAACUAGGCUGUGUUGUUAUAGCCUCUGUGUUGAAGUCAGUGGUGCAUAAGCUGCACAGGCUGAGAACUGAGCUGGCACACAUUUUUAUAGAAGUCAGUGUAUAAUCUGCAUAUUUCAUGCAUCUCUUGAUCACCUUCGAAUCAAAACAAAGGCCGCUUUCUGCUUUGUGUGUCUCUUCUUGAAGCUGCCUAACAAAAUUAUCGUAGUUAGUUAUGUCUUCUGGCUCAUCAGUCUUUUUAAUUCGAAAAAAUCGGCCAGUGCAUACGAGAGUGCCCCACAAGGUCUCAAAAUGUCAUAGGUUGUUCCUAUUUAAGCACACAAUACAGGCGGUCCUUCUUCAUCUCGGGUAAACACGUUGAUUUUAGGUACACUGUGUCAGUUACUGUUUGGCAGCUCUAAGCUGAAUGUGUGCAAAGCUUGUGAUUUAUCCAUCUCUGACAUGAUCAACUUUCUGAGUGAGGACAGACAUUAUGAAGCAGGGCAUGUUCCUGAAUGUACAGCAGAGGUACCGCAAAAAUCGUACGCCAAGCAAGAGGACUACCAAUUCUCAGUAGUUACUUAAUGUCUUGAACCUGUAAAUAAAUUUCCGCUGACUUACUUAUCGAUUUAAAGUAUCUAGCUAGUGAGAGUCCUUUAGCACAAUGCAAGCAUUCCAGUUUACAUAAGAAUAAAAUAAUUAUACGUCCAAUAACACAAGCUGCCUGUAUAAUUCAAUAACACAAGGAUUCUCAUGCUAUACAUGCAUGUGUUUUAUGUUACCCCUUAUGCCUCGAGCACGGGAGGCACAAAAUGCAAUAUUAUUGUUCUUGUAGAAAACUGUGGAUCCGUUGAAUAUCCAUGAU